UUCAAACUUCGAAUACUCACAAUAAGUAUGGCCAUGAAACAAGCGAGUGUGGUGUUCCAGUCGCCGUACGAGCUGGCCUUACCAACCAGAACGCUGUAAAAGAUGAAAUCGCCCAGACCUAAUUUCACGCCCUCUGUAACAAACAUCCUGCGACGGCUCCUCGACCCUGGUGACGUAUCUCGCUGAUGCUGUACCCUCCACUCGUAAGUGUCUCGGGGCUCCGGCUGCGGCGCGCUCCCUCCAAGCGUUAUCAAAACCUCCCUCACCGUCACCAUCUCCCCCGGAGUUAACGUUACCCUCCGAGUUCGAAGAUCCUAGGAUGAAUGCGUGUUGAUUUAUGACAAGUAACAAAAAAAAUAAAUUAAAAAACAAAAAUGUCAUUUCCUCCUCAUUAGUACAGAAUCAACUAUCCUAAGAAUGAUUAGUAGAGUUAUAUACAAAAUAAUACACUUAUUAUAUAUUAGUGUGUUAAUCAUAUAGAAUUGGAACAAGCACAUUUUUUUUAAUUUAUACAUAGAUAUGGUGAAUUAUAUAGAAGCUAGUGUGCCGAUACACAGACUUUACUUUAUUUAUUUUUUCUGUAUAUUUUUUAUUUAAUCUGUUGCUAUAUAUAUUCUGUGUAAAGCGUGUGCACGGACCAUGCGGCUGUAGAGGGCGCAGCUCGCGCUCACCUUCGACCGCUGCCAGCAUGUACAUCACCGUCGCUGGAAUAUAACCAAACGGCUUAUUGACAAAUACAUUCAAUAACUUCAAAUAAAAAGCUGUAACUACACAUAUGUAUAUUUUCAAUAACUCCUCCAAGUAAGGCAUCUGUUAACUAUAUAGUGUUAAUAUUAUAUAUUAUCAAAAAUAUAUCAUCGGGGUAGGUAUUGACAAAAGUUAUAAUCAUGUCAUUAAUUGACGGUCAUUAUAUAUAUGUGGCUAUGUUUGUGGGUAGCAUAAAAUGUUACAUACAUGAAUAAAUAAGUGCUGGGAAUAUCGGUUCAUUUCUCUCCUGAGCCGUCUCAACGAGUAUCCUCAGAGGUCCUUUUGGUGUGAGGACGGCUAUCAAAUCUGUUAACAUACAAACAUAAAUAUUAUGUUAAUAAAUAAUUAUGGAGACUGAA